AUCAAGGAGCCUGUGCCUGUAGGAAACCCUAUGGAUAACUCAGGUUAUGGCUACUAAUUAAACCGUAAGUGAUGAUCAUGCCGACAUCUUAUGUUGCCGCCUUCAAGUCCGGGCAAAUGCUUAUAUUCAUCUGCGGCCAAAGUUUCAUCUGGUAGGGAAUCGAAUGGAUUGGUCCAAUAAGUUGGAAAGUCAAUUUUAUUCAGAAUUUUGUUUCUACUUAUCCAUGCCCGUAUCUUGUUUGCAAUUAUUUGGUUUGCAAAAG